ensembl:lncRNA
CAGAGAGCAGGACAGUACUGUGCAGUUUUCUAGAGGCACGAUGUGUCACCCGAAUAUCGGUUGGGAACCAGCGGGAAUGUGGCAACGUUCCCAAGAGGAUGUGUGAUGCAACGGAACGUGACAAGCUUCAACUUCAGCCGCGGCGACGCUGCACAGGCAUGCCAGGCGAGUUUGUGUCAGUCAUUAAAAUAGAAGCAAGUGAAUCACAGAUGAGCAUGAGGGGAAAUGAAUGAAACCAAUAUUACGCAGUGUUUGUUUCUUUCUGCCGGAAGGCUCUCCAUCCCCUGUUAUUUCAGAUAUGACACUGUGUCAACUUUGGAUAAAACACAAUUUAUCAAAGAAAAGGUUGCUUGGUCCACAGAUGGAUGGCGGAUGAUGGUAAAGCAUGCAUUAGCAGGGUGACAGUAGGAACAACAUUUGAAUGAGGUCUAACCUUUUGUACGGACAUCGAGAGAGGGCAGCUUGUCAAAGUAUCUCAUCUUCCCAGUCACCACUGCCUCACACACACACACACACCAGCAUGUAAAUAAAACACAUACCUUUUGUGAUGAAUGAAAUGUAGAAGUGAGAGGAGGAAGAGGAGAGAUGGAAGUAUCAGUCCUCAGUGACAACAGCCACACUGCCACACUAUAAGGACGUUUUAAAUUCCUCUCCUCUAGCCUCGCGCACUCAUACCCUCGCCUGCUCUCCCUUCAGUCCGCGUUGACGUUUUAAAUUCCUCUCCUCUAGCCUCGCGCACUCAUACCCUCGCCUGCUCUCCCUUCAGUCUGUGUGUUUGUGUGUUCCUACCUGAAGGACAUUUCCCACCAAUCCAGCGAGCUGCCAGGGUUUCAUUGUGGUCAGGGCUGAGACACGAAUAUUCUGUAAAAAGUGCCUCCUGCUUGCUUUUCUCUUAGCCUUUCUUUCUCGGCGGAUUGCACCGGGAAUAAGAUAGCAGUGAGAGAGAGAUGGACCUAGAGAAAAAAAAGAGAGGUGGAGAAGAAAGAGUAUAGAUUUAGAAAGCGUGAGUGAGAAAAAGAGUGUGAAGGAGAGACAGAUAAAGGUAGAGAGUGAGCGAGAGCAAGGAAGGGAGGAAUUGAGAGGCAGAGGUAGAAAAAGAGAGGUAGAUAGAGUGAGGGAGAGGGACAGGUAGAAUGAAUGAGGUACAGAGAGAGAGAGAGGGAGGUGAAGAGAGAGGGAGGUGAAGAGAGAGGGAAUAAGAGAGAGAGACAAGUAGAAACAAUGAGCUACAGAGAGAGAGUGGGAGGUGAAGAGAGCGGGGGAGAUAGCGGUAUAUGGAGACACAGCGUGAGGGGCAACCGCGUGCUGCCAAUGUAAAUGACUGUCACUCCUGUCCCCCCACUGGCCGGUUUGUUUCAGCGUGCCGUCAACCUCCGGCCGCUGCUAGUAGAAAUGUCUACCUUUUGAAACAUGGUAAACAGAGACAGAGCUGAAGAACGGUAGGAAGAGAGGAG